CUAUACUCGAAUAUUAAUACUGACCUCGGCCUGAUGGUGAUUCAAGAACUCCUAUAUGAAAGGACAUCGUAGUUUUCAAGCUUCUGUGACAUAAUUCAUAUGUUCAGCCCAUGCAUCUUGGCGCACUGUUCACAUUCACAUACGGGGUUAUGGUUCAUUGCGUCUCGCAGUGCAUAGCAACGACGCAGGGGAUGCCACACCGGAGGCCAGAAGCAGUGCGGACCCGACCCCGGCAACAGAUACAUCAGAAUGCUAAAUGCAAAACAUUUAAUCUUAUCGCUUUGCCUGUAACUAAGAAACCUUGGGAUGGAGACUGAAUACAGGACGUCUAAACAUUGGACUUCGUGGAAAGAUGAAGAAAUCUCAAGCAAGAAGUCUUGCAAGAUAAAGACUUAUGCCACGCCACAAAUGACUAAUCAACAUAUAGAAUGACGCAUAGUUUUAUCCUUCAACCCAUAUACUCAGAAUAUUGUCUGCUCGUGACUCUGGACUGAAACCUUGUCAUGACCCCAUGCAAAGACUAAACAUCUGAUGAGCAGAGAAGUUUUUCCAAGAAAUUAAUGGACACUAGAUAUGCUAAUAUAUACGGACGCAAUAUUUGAACAACCAAUAAAACUGUAACAUAUUAAUUGUGAUGUCAUGAUCAAUCCUCCUACUUUGCAAAAUGUUAAAACUAACUGUUUCUUCAUGAAUUAAAGCAGAGCUCCCUGGGGUACCGAGG